rnacentral:lncRNA from 1 species
UCAACGUCGCUCCUCGCAGUCGCUAUCGAGAGUUGAGACUCGAAAAGUUAGAGGCUGGCCAGGUGCUCCAUACGUUAAGUUAGAAAGUGAUAUAAAAAUAAAAUGUUAUAAUUAUGCAGACGCAUUGAGUAUUGAUAAUAUUUUUAAUCGGAAACAAGAAAUAAUAAUUAGUGGUGUGGUAUGGGCGAUUAACUGGAAAUUAAAUUAAACAUUUUUAUAUAACUGAUAACUCUUGUGAGGAAGGGUGAAGGGAAAAGAGACAGAUGAAGCAGAAAAACAAACUAAUUUUAUUGGAAAUUAAAACAAAAUUGUAAUUUUGACAGUUAAUGUUUUUUUUAGAACAUUAGAACGUCAUAGCACAAGCAUCACGAAAGAGAAGCAGGAAACAUACAAAGAAUCAAGGUCCGUCAUAUACACAGCAAAAUUUAAAUAGUUAUAUAUGUUUAGAGCUUUCAAAAUUAAAGAUAUAUGAUGUCAUGA